ensembl:lncRNA
GUAGAUAUGUAUAGGAGACAGGGAUACUGGAGUGAUGGAGGUAGAUAUGUAUAGGGGACAGGGAUACUGGAGUGAUGGAGGUAGAUAUGUAUAGGGACAGGGAUACUGGAGUGAUGGAGGUAGAUAUGUAUAGGGGACAGGGAUACUGGAGUGAUGGAGGUAGAUAUGUAUAGGGGACAGGGAUACUGGAGUGAUGGAGGUAGAUAUGUAUAGGAGACAGGGAUACUGGAGUGAUGGAGGUAGAUAUGUAUAGGGGGACAGGGAUACUGGAGUGAUGGAGGUAGAUAUGUAUAGGAGACAGGGAUACUGGAGUGAUGGAGGUAGAUAUGUAUAGGGGGAAGGAGACAGGGAUACUGGAGUGAUGGAGGUAGAUAUGUAUAGGGGGAAGGAGACAGGGAGACUGGAGUGAUGGAGGUAGAUAUGUAUAGGAGACAGGGAUACUGGAGUGAUGGAGGUAGAUAUGUAUAGGAGACAGGGAUACUGGAGU